rnacentral:rRNA from 1 species
GACGAACGCUGGCGGCGUGCCUAAUACAUGCAAGUCGAACGAACCGCGACUAGGUGCUUGCACUUGGUCAAGGUGAGUGGCGAACGGGUGAGUAACACGUGGGUAACCUACCUCAUAGUGGGGGAUAACAGUCGGAAACGACUGCUAAUACCGCAUAGGACAUAGGAUCACAUGAUUCUGUGAGGAAAGGUGGCGCAAGCUAUCGCUAAGAGAUGGACCCGCGGUGCAUUAGCUAGUUGGUAGGGUAAAGGCCUACCAAGGCGAGGAUGCAUAGCCGACCUGAGAGGGUGAUCGGCCACAUUGGGACUGAGACACGGCCCAAACUCCUACGGGAGGCAGCAGUAGGGAAUCUUGCGCAAUGGACGCAAGUCUGACGGAGCAACGCCGCGUGAGUGAAGAAGGUCUUCGGAUCGUAAAGCUCUGUUGUUAGAGAAGAACAGCGCAUAGAGUAACUGUUAUGCGUGUGACGGUAUCUAACCAGAAAGCCACGGCUAACUACGUG